rfam:Aedes aegypti strain Liverpool supercont1.856 genomic scaffold, whole genome shotgun sequence.
UGCUUCAGCAACUCCUAUCCCUACCUCCUCAUGGUACUGGCCGGGGUACGAGUAACCUUGGGGAAGAUCGGGUAACCAACCCCCGGUGGGAACUUUGGUCGUAUGCUGACAGGGAAGG